rnacentral:rRNA from 1 species
GAGUUUGAUCGUGGCUCAGGACGAACGCUGGCGGCGUGCCUAAUACAUGCAAGUAGAACGCUGAAGGAGGAGCUUGCUCUUCUGGAUGAGUUGCGAACGGGUGAGUAACGCGUAGGUAACCUGCCUGGUAGCGGGGGAUAACUAUUGGAAACGAUAGCUAAUACCGCAUAACAGUAGAUGUUGCAUGACAUUUGCUUAAAAGGUGCAAUUGCAUCACUACCAGAUGGACCUGCGUUGUAUUAGCUAGUUGGUGGGUAACGGCUCACCAAGGCGACGAUACAUAGCCGACCUGAGAGGGUGAUCGGCCACACUGGGACUGAGACACGGCCCAGACUCCUACGGGAGGCAGCAGUAGGGAAUCUUCGGCAAUGGACGGAAGUCUGACCGAGCAACGCCGCGUGAGUGAAGAAGGUUUUCGGAUCGUAAAGCUCUGUUGUAAGAGAAGAACGAGUGUGAGAGUGGAAAGUUCACACUGUGACGGUAUCUUACCAGAAA